GCCGCGGUGGCCCAGUGGUUAGAGCACUGGGCUGCGACGCUCGUGGUCCCGGGAUCGAAUCCCGGCCGCGGCA
rnacentral:tRNA from 1 species